CCCUUAGAUGUUCUGGGCCGCACGCGCGCUACACUGAUGCAUUCAACGAGUCUAAAACCUGCUCUGAUAGGGGUGGGUAAUCUUUUGAAUGUGCAUCGUGAUUGGGAUAGAUGAUUGCAAUUUUUCAUCUUCAACGAGGAAUGCCUAGUAAACGCAAGUCAUCAGCUUGCAUUGAUUACGUCCCUGCCCUUUGUGCACACCGCCCGUCGCUCCUACCGAUUGAAUGAUCCGAUGAAUAUCAUGGAUUGAGGAUGUAAGCAGGUUCGCCUGUCUUCAUCUUCGAGAAGUGAAGUAAAUCUUAUCAUUUAGAGGAAGGAGAAGUCGUAACA
rnacentral:rRNA from 1 species